rnacentral:rRNA from 1 species
AACGAACGCUGGCGGCAGGCUUAACACAUGCAAGUCGAGCGCCCCGCAGGGGGAGCGGCCGACGGGUGAGUAACGCGUGGGAACGUACCUUUUGGUUCGGAACAACUCCGGGAAACUGGAGCUAAUACCGGAUAAGCCCUAACGGGGAAAGAUUUAUCGCCGAAAGAUCGGCCCGCGUCUGAUUAGCUAGUUGGUGAGGUAACGGCUCACCAAGGCGACGAUCAGUAGCUGGUCUGAGAGGAUGAUCAGCCACACUGGGACUGAGACACGGCCCAGACUCCUACGGGAGGCAGCAGUGGGGAAUAUUGGACAAUGGGCGCAAGCCUGAUCCAGCCAUGCCGCGUGAGUGAUGAAGGCCUUAGGGUUGUAAAGCUCUUUUGUCCGGGAAGAUAAUGACUGUACCGGAAGAAUAAGCCCCGGCUAACUUCGUG